UCGAACGUGAAGAUAGAGCAAUCUAUCUGAAAGUGGCGGACGGGUGAGUAACACGUGGGUGACCUGCCUCGGAGUGGGGGAUAACCAUGGGAAACUGUGGCUAAUACCGCAUGCGCUAUCGGCUUUGGGUAGCCGAAUAGUAAAGCUUUAGUGCUUCGAGAGGGGCCUGCGUCCGAUUAGGUAGUUGGUGAGGUAAUGGCUCACCAAGCCGAUGAUCGGUAGCUGGUCUGAGAGGACGAUCAGCCACACGGGAACUGAGAUA
rnacentral:rRNA from 1 species